UAAAUACCAUACACAUAUCAUCGAUAUAUCUAUCACCAUAGGUAAAGAGUUGGAGUUUUGCUGCUAUUAAUUACUAAUUGUUUUCCUUCUUCCCAAGUUGAAAAUUAGGCCCGAAAAUGAAACCCAUAUGGAUUGGUAUAUGUAUGUUUAUAUCUAUAUUUUUUAACAAAUAUGGAUAUGGAUUUUAAAUAGAUAUUAAAAUUAAUAUUCAUAUUUUUUUUCUAAAUGGAUGCAUAUAUGAAU
rnacentral:lncRNA from 1 species